AUAAAGGAAUAUACAACGGCCUCAGAGCUGAGGCUCGACAGGAGAAAGAUGAAGGAGCGCUGGACCGUCUCAUCCGCUCCGUUGUCAUGGAGAUGGGAUUGCGUCAUAAUGCAGCACGGCUGGAAGCAGGCUGACAGGAACGCGCACUAGUCUCGGCGAGACAGUCGUCCGAAGAGGGUGUGAUAACGAGCCGUUGAGAUUUUACCUUUUCCAACCUCAUUUUCGUCGCUUUGAAGUCGCUGGACAUCUGAGGUCAGCAUGCGCGAGAUCGUGCACCUGCAGGCGGGCCAGUGCGGGAAUCAAAUCGGAGCGAAGGAAAUUGCUGGCUUUAGAGGAGAAGAUGCCUGCCUACAAAUGCUCCAAUUGCCGUAGACUCAAAACAAGAGCCUGUGGGAUCACCUUUCACCUCCUGGUGACAGAUGCUGCAUCAAGGACCAGAACUUCCACCUGCUGACUUUAAACACAUUGGAGGUCUGGUGAUGACAUCAGAAGACACAGUGAGGGUCGUCAGGGCAGCAGAGUGUGUCAUUCAUCAGCCAGUACUAGACGAUCACAGCCCAUCAAACUGCUAGAGGUCAUGUUCAUUGUACGAAAUAGGGUCAGAGGAUGUGUUUGUACUCGGGGAGCACAACGGCAAAAUGGAGUAUGGCAUAGACAGCCACCACCAUUCGCUGUUAACAUUAGUUGUGUUCCUGUUUGACAAACCUUACCUUACAAAGUAACAACAUGUGACAGAAGCUUAAUAAAACCGUCUUUUUCAAAGGGCAUUAGCGAAAGCUAUGUUUUUUGGGUCAUUUUUUAUCUCUGUCCUCCACAGUAGUGUUCUCUCUACAGGAUUGGGAUUUCAA